UCCUACGGGACGCAGCGGUGAGGAAUAUUGGUCAAUGGGCGGGAGCCUGAACCAGCCAAGCCGCGUGAGGGAAGAAGGUACAGCGUAUCGUAAACCUCUUUUGUCAGGGAACAAAGGCGGGGACUAGUCCCCGGAUGAGGGUACCUGAAGAAAAAGCAUCGGCUAACUCCGUGCCAGCAGCCGCGGUAAUACGGAGGAUGCGAGCGUUAUCCGGAUUUAUUGGGUUUAAAGGGUGCGCAGGCGGCCUGUUAAGUCAGCGGUAAAAGCCCGGGGCUCAACCCCGGCCAGCCGUUGAAACUGGCGGG
rnacentral:rRNA from 1 species